AUGCCUAAGGAGCAAGCGACGGCCUCCCGCAGGCGGAAGGCGGCGCCCGAGGCGCGUGGCAGCGAGGGGAUCGACGCUCUGCCGGGCGAGGUCCUGCAGCAUGUGCUGUCCUUCUUGCCGGUGGCGGAGGCCGUGCAGACCUGCGUGCUGGCUCGGGGCUGGCGCGACCUCUGGAAGUCCAUGCCGGUCCUGCGCAUCACCUGCGAGGGGAGGAUUCUGAACCGGCGGGGCGUCAGGAGGCUCAACAAGUUUGUGAACCACCUGCUGCUGCUCCGCGACCGCAGCGCGCCUCUGCAUGCGUGUGAGAUAGAGCUCAGUACUUUCCAUAGCCAGGAUGAACCGCAGGUCAACUUAUGGACCCGACAUGCUCUCUUGUGCCAAGCUCGAGUCCUCAGUGUUCAUUUAAGCCGUGAUAACAAUAGCUUCGAGCUGCUGGAGGACCUGCCUCUCGUCUCUCCGCACUUGACGAGGUUGGAGCUUUGCAACGUAGUGUUAAAUGAUAGCAUUCUGAAUUUUUCGAGCUGCCCAGCGCUGGAAGAACUAUGGAUGAGGGGUUGCUACAUCCAAGCUGAUAUGAUCAUGUCCCUGUCCCUAAAACGCCUCACCAUCCUUGACUGCAUAUUUUAUCCAAAUGAACGGACUCGGAUUUCUGUCCCGAGUCUAGUUGCACUGGAAUUAAUUGAAUGUUGGGGGAGGACUCCUUUGCUUGAAAGCAUGCCAUCGUUAGUAACAGGUUCUAUUAAGCUUGCCGACUGUGAUGAUUGUUGUGGUAAAGAAGCUGGUGGUUCGUGUGUAGAUGAUACCUGUGAAAAUUGUGGUUCCAAUGGUGAUGGCAGUGGAGAUUGUGUGCUUCUCAGUGGUUUGUCAGAUGCUAAAAGCUUGGAGUUGAUAGCUGAACCUUGUGCGUUUAUUCUCAAAAGAGAUUUGAUGUGGUGCCCAACCUUUAGCAAGUUAAAAACCUUGUUACUCAAUGAUUGGUGUAUGAAGGCCAAUCUUGGUGCACUCAUGUGCUUUCUCCAGCAUACACCUGUUCUCGAGAAGCUUACUAUCCAGCUUUGUCAGGCACCCAGCAGUUGGAUGGGGACUGAAGGAAGCUACAAUCUGACGGGACAACCGUUUGCAUCUAGCAAGCUUAAGGUACUUGAAAUCAAGUGUGAGAAGAUUGAUGAGAGGGUUCACAGAAUUUUAACGUUCUUGAGUACCUAUAGCAUACAUGUUGAGCAAAUCAAUAUCCAGCAGAGUAUUGGAUCUUCUGAAGAGCCCAAGGAUUUUCCUCAGGAACCCAGAGCUGGACCUUCUCAAGCGCGAACUCCGCGUGUGUUGCCCUCGCAGAAUGCUCAGUUGAGGAGCAUGGCUGAGCAGAUUGUAGUCAGGCAGGAGCAGAUCGAAGUUGAGCAACAGCAGAUCCUAGCGCAUCUGGGGCAGAUCCAAGUUGAACAGCAGCAGAUCCUAGCGCAUCAGGAGGAGAUCCAAGUUGAGCAGCAGCAGAUCAUAGCUGGGCAGCAGCAGCAGAGGCACCUCUUGACUCGGAUCUUAGCCUGGCUCCAGGAACAUUCAGCUCGGAAGACUCCACCAGCUGCUCCUUGUGCUGCUGGCUCAGCUCACACAGCGGGUCUUGAGUGA
rnacentral:rRNA from 1 species